GCCCCAAUGGUGGAAUUGGCAGACACGACGGACUUAAAAUCCGUUGACUUUAGAGUCAUAAGGGUUCAAAUCCCUUUUCGGGCACCA
rnacentral:tRNA from 1 species